rnacentral:rRNA from 1 species
GUCUUUUAGAAUAUAAUUUAAAGUCUAACCUGCCCACUGAAUUUUUUGAAGGGCCGCGGUAUUUUGACUGUGCAAAGGUAGCAUAAUCAUUAGUCUUUUAAUUGGAGGCUUGUAUGAAUGGUUGGAUGAAACAUUAACUGUCUCAAUAUAAUAAAAAUAGAAUUUAAUUUUUAAGUUAAAAAGCUUAAAUAAUAUUAGAGGACGAGAAGACCCUAUAGAUCUUUAUAAUUAAUUUUUUAUUAUUUAUAUAGAAUAUUAAUUAGUAUUAAUUAAUUAAUUAUUUUAUUGGGGUGAUAAAUAAAUUUAGUAAACUUUAUUUAAUUUAAACAUUUAUGUAUGAAUAAUUGAUCCAUUAUUAGUGAUUAAAAGAUUAAGUUACCUUAGGGAUAACAGCGUAAUUUUUUUAGAGAGUUCUUAUCGAUAAAAAAGUUUGCGACCUCGAUGUUGAAUUAAAGGUUAAUUUUAGGUGCAGAAGUUUAAAGUUUUGGUCUGUUCGACCAUUAAAUC